rnacentral:rRNA from 1 species
GUAGUCCACGCCCUAAACGAUGGAUGCUAGACGUAAGAGGUAUCGACCCCUCUUGUGUCGCAGCUAACGCAUUAAGCAUCCCGCCUGGGGAGUACGGCCGCAAGGUUGAAACUCAAAUGAAUUGACGGGGACCCGCACAAGCGGUGGAGCAUGUGGAUUAAUUCGAUACUAACCGAAGAACCUUACCCAGGUUUGACAUCGAUCGAAAGCCUAAGAGAUUAGGCCCUGAACCACAAGUUCACGUGAAGACAGAUGUUGCAUGGCUGUCGUCAGCUCGUGCCGUGAGGUGUACGGUUAAGUCCGCCAACGAGCGCAACCCUCGUCUUGUGUUACCAGCGAGUAAUGUCGGGGACUCACAAGAGACCGCCGGUGUAAGCCGGA